GGCCUGGUGGCUCAGAUGGUUAGAGUGCUGGCCUGUCACGCCAGAGGUCGAGGGUUCGAUCCCCUUCCAGGUCGCCA
rnacentral:tRNA from 1 species